AGGUCUGAGCUCCAAAUAAGUACAAAGUUUUGGGUAUGAUUAUGGACAUACAACAUCCUUUUCUAUAAGCCUUCAACAACAACAUAUAUGUCUCAAGACAAUUCCAUUUGCAUGAGGGGGUAAGGAGAGGAAGCUAAGAGCACCACCUGAAAGAGUGAAUAAGCCUCAGCCCCCUCUGCCAUCAAUGGGAACUGAGAGCACUCAACGUCGUACUUUAAUCAGUCAUGAAAAAGUGGCAACUUCACCAUCCAACAGAAUAACUCUGAAAAUUCUAAUCUACACCUCAGGCUUGGUCACCUUGCUCUGUGCAUGAACUUCUACGUUUCUCACCUACAAAAACAAUGACUCGGAGCUCCCACUGAGAAUCACUGGAGACUUUGAACUGAAAAGCAGACAAGAUACAACCCAUCUCAAAUCAAUGGAGGGUAAAAGGAAAAGACCUUCUGCCUGCUAGACUAGCAAAUAUUUCCUUUAAAGGCAAUUUUAAAGAAAAAACCCAAUGUUGGAAGAUAGCUUAACUGAGAAGUUAAUGGCAAACCUGUGAAUACACUGCCGUUUUUCAAAGAAAGAGUGAGUGAACCUCAGCACAAAAAACGUUACAAAUUCCUAGCUGCUUGGAAUCUUGUCAUGGAAUUGCCUUAGGCAAUCAGCGUAUGGUUUCUUUUUGAACAAGCUAUCUUUUAACACUUGAAACCAAGAUGAUUUAACAAAAAGAGAGAGUCUCAAUUUUGUGAGCAACGUCCCCUCUAGACUCUACCCAAACAAAGCUACUAAUGUGUGGUCAUUUUCUUGGCAACACCACUUUGUGCUGAUAACACCACUGCCUGCUAUUCUCCAAGGACUAGGCUGCUAGAAGACUGCUCCGUACCUCAUCCCCUGAUGCUUCUGAUGCGGGUGAUCCUCCGACUGCACGGCGCCAACCACAACAUGCUACCCACCGUGAGAGAGCAGGACGCAGGCUGCUCUAGUCAGGAGUUAUCGUCUAUCAUACUGAUUGACGAAACCAAGAGUGAGCAGAAAAAAUAAACAUGAACAGAGGCUGCAGUGUAUGGGGCAGUCAGCUGGGAGUUUUAGUAUUUGGCCUUGGUGAUCCUACUCUCAUGGUAGGUUAUCUUUUCCUUGUGCUAUCAUUUAUCAUAACUUUAAGGGCCAGAGAGAGAAACAAACCUACAAUUUUUCUAUUGGUUACAUUCAUUAAACUCUUCUUUUUUUAGCACCACUUCCUUUGCCCCCAAUAACAAUCCCACCCCCUCAUACUGUAUUCCCUAAAGAACAGUGAAAUCAAAUCUAAGUAUAGACCUCUCCGUUUACUCCUAUUACUGCAGUCGACCAUUUCAGGCAAUUAACCUUUGUUAUUCCACUAGACCCAGAAUUCAUACAUACAUAUUCAUUGCGAAUGGCCUGACUGUAGCAAACAUUAACUUCCAUCACAGCUAAGAUCAUUUAAGACCCCUAAUAUUAUCUGGCAAUAGAUGUUGUUUUUGUCACUAACAUCU